UAACCAUGGUGUGGACAAUCUCUCUGAUACCCCUUAAAACGCACUCAAGCAACCUUGAAAGCCUCUGAGAUCCCUUGAGAAAAGGUAGAAAUCUUUUUCCGCAGCUC
rfam:Capsella rubella cultivar Monte Gargano unplaced genomic scaffold scaffold_4, whole genome shotgun sequence.